ACUCAAAGAAGUGGUUCUGACAUUAUUAUAUUUAAAAACAACAAUAAAUAGACAGAAGGACCAUCUGAGCUGCACUAAUUGGAAGCUAUUGAAAGGGACACCUAUAUGUUACCCAGAGGAAGCUACCGUUAGCAGAAAAACAAAGUGGCAGCAGGACCUAGAAACGCCUUUAUUUUGUGUGCACAAAACCCCCGGAGCGGCACGACCCCCUCCUAGAUGCAGGCAGCGUCUUGACAGCGCGUCCUCCUCCUCGGAUUAAACUCUAAUCUGACACAGAGUGGGGAGCAGCAGCCCAGGGGCGGAUUUCCUCCAACAUGGUGGAGGCCAGCCGCUGUGACGGGAAUAUGGAAACGUAACACGAGGGGUUAGGGGUGGGUUCAUCAACACAAACUCUGAAUUCAGAAAAAGAAGAAAGGCAAAGACUUGAAGGGAAGAGUGAAGAAGUAGCAAAAUACUACCGCAACCGCUGUGUUUAUGUUAUCAAAUAAAUAAGUUGUCUUUAAGCACUCA